AUUUACCAAAUUUUCCUUAAUUUUCUUUUUGUUCUUCAAUCAUCUAGCAUUUUCAUUUUUUGUGCAAGAUUUGAAAUUUUCUGCACAUCUCAGUGUUCUUAUCUUUCCCCCUUUAAAUCAUUGCUGCAGAGAAAGAUAUCAAAAUUACUGCUUUUGAUAAUUCUCAAUGAUACAGUGGAUUCUUUUAUGGUGCUGAUAACUCUAGUUAUAAUAGAACUUACUAUCAGGAGUCAAUAUAUGCUCAAGCGCCACAUAGAAUUUCUGGUGUUCAAUAUUCUGAAAACUAUCAACACCAAUUUGAUCCUAGAUAUGGAAGAGGAUAUGGUGUUCCUACACCACACCAACAAUCUCAACAGCCUAAUUUUAUGUGUUCCACCACAGACUGCUCAGAUUGUGAUGGAGACCAAAUGUUAUUGAAUGCAUUUUUUACUUCUUUGGUACCACUAUCUUUUGUCAAAUUUGGUCUAAAGCAUUAGAAGAUUUCAUAGAGUGAUCAUUGCCUCGACAUUGAUGUUAUAGAUAAUCUCUGAUUUAUUCCAUCAUUAUUUUCUUGUUGUGCUUAGUUUGUGACAUGCUGUGAUUUUUAGGAUCUUUUGGUUUUGAAGUAUGGAAACAAAAAAAGUGAUUCACUGGUGUAAUAAGGAUAGUCUCACAAUCUGAAUUAU